UUCAGCUUCCACUUUCUCUUCUCAAGACUGCACAGGGGCAUCCUAUGUUGGUGGAACUUAAAAAUGGGGAAACAUACAAUGGGCAUUUGGUGAAUUGUGAUACUUGGAUGAAUAUCCAUCUUCGUGAAGUCAUAUGUACCUCAAAAGAUAGAGAUAGGUUUUGGAGAAUGCCAGAAUGCUACAUUCGGGGGAAUACAAUCAAGUAUCUUUGAGUUCCAGAUGAGGUUUGUUAAAUUUUGAACAUUUUUUAAUAUCUGAAGUUCUGAGCUACAUUCCUAUUUUAUCUACUUCAGAUCGUCUUCCUUUGGUGCCUAUUUGUCUUUCUACAUUGAUCACGUAGCAAGUCUUUAAAUAUCAACUUAACAACUCAAUUCAACUUAACAAAACUCUAGUCCCAAUCCAAUUAUGAGUGGUAACCAUGAAUUACCUUUAGUUUGUUUGACUCAUCUAUUAUUGUUUGCUUGGGGAUUUGGUCCUGAAUUACAAUUUACAGCCAAAACCAGUCAAACUCAAAUCAUUGAUUUGCUUAAUCAAACUCUUGAGUGGUGAGAAUUAGUCGCUUUUGAGUUAUUUUAUUUUAUUUAUUUAGUUUUGACUUUUUAAAUUUUUUGGUGGUCAUGGUUGGGUAUAGCAUUUAUGACAUGUUUAGAGAUGCUGUUGUUGCAGAAGCAGUGAGAAUAGGGCGCAUUUUGGGCAUU